GCGGAAGGUUAAUUUGAAACUCACAGCCCCGCUGCCGCUCGGCUCCCCGGGCAAAGCCUGACAUCUACAGUCGUGCCGGGCGCAGGCCGGGUUGCUCGGCGGCGACCGCGCCCGACCGCCCGCAGGGACCUGGGGACGCACAGGGACGCGCGGGGCCCGGGCGCUCGGCUGCGCUCGCUCCGCUCCGGGCGCGGGCCUUGGGGCAGGCCGGGGGACCCGCGCACCCGCCUGGGGCCAGGAACCCUCGCUGCUCGGCCUGCGCCGCCCGGGGAACCGGCCCCGGCGGGAACAAAGCCCGGGCCCUCCCGGAGGCGCUGACCCCUCGCUCAUCAAAGUUGCAGAAACUUAUAAAAACAUCCCCCUGUUCUCCGUUGAGAGUUAAGGAUAGUUUUUGAGGCCAGAGAAAGAGAAAAGAAGGAGAGAUCACCAGAAAGAGAGGAAGAGAAGAAGUGGGAAGAAAAGGAGCUGCAGUCUACAAUGGAAGCCUCCAGGCUCCUUAGCCUCACCUUAUAAAGCCACAUCACCGCAGACAUAGGAAAGAUCGUGCCCUUUCCCGGGGAGUUUCUACCGCCAGGGAGGCACACACUGACUCGGGAGAACGAGGGAUGCUUAGCUGCUGAAAACCAUCCAUCCCCGUAUAGAAGGCUUUCUGCACAAUGUAAUUUGGGUUCCGAUUAAUCUAAGACCCUGGGAGAAAAGACUGCCUCCAGGGAAUCAUGUCCGAUUAGGGACAAAGGAGGGCACAAGCCCAAUUCAGUCACACUGACUAUGAAUAAGACGUGAAGAUGAUGUAUGCUAGCAGGACCGCAAGCAACGUGGCCCACAACGCACAGAUGCCUCUGGCAAUCUCUUCAGGAAAACGAAGAUUCCUUACCUAGGAUAGGGGACAACCUCGUAAUCUGAUGACAUCAUGAUCCUGGGUAGGCCCACAGACAAAUACCUCCAAUAAAAUAAAAGCGAGAAAGCCCAAAGAACAAGCUAUAAAAGUAACCUGGGAGGAUGCAACAGUGCCUGGGCAGAAGGCCCGGAGGGGAUUUGCCCUAAUACUGCCACUGUCCCAAGAAGCAGACCCUGCGACCUGCCUCCUGCACUUCAAAGGCCUGACAAGUAGAACUGAGAGUGACCCUGAGUUCCUUUUCUUUAUCUGGCACCGGCUACACACAAGAUGAGGCCUAGUCAAGCCUGCCUUUGUUCUAGGCAAAAAUUUAACAGGUAAUCCACAGGCCAGUGAUCUAUGGCCUCUGUACAUUAUGGAAAUGAGGGACUACACACAAGCUGGGUGUCACCUCUACUAAAACUCAUUUUCCUUAUUCAUAAAAACAAUACCUCUUCAGAGGGAACUGGCAACUUCUGCACUUACAUACGAAAUCGGGAGUUUCUCUGAAAUACUCCUUGCAAAUUCUAUCCUCCAGCUCUGGAAGCCCCGGCUCUUCGAAGGGCAGCUGCCUGAUGUUAAACCCACGGCCUACCCAGCAGUGACAGCCUGACAUUCUCAUCGCUCCAUCCUGAACACUGCUGACAAAUAAACCCACUCUCAGAAAAGGCAAUUCUUCCCUCGCAGUUCUCCAUACCCAGUCUCGUCUCAUCUGGAAAGCGUAAUUGGCAACAGCCGAAAGGAUAAAUAUUUAAAAAUAAAUCAGGGAGCGCUAACCCCUUCCCUACUCCUCCCCUUACUCACUCUCCAAGCCAGAGGCCUGCCCCCUAACACUGAGCUGGCUGAUAAAUUACAAUGAUUCUACCGAGCCAAACCUGUUUGUCUCUCUCUCUCUCUCUACACAUACACACUUACUAAUGCUGUAUCCUUCCACUUUUGCAAAGGUAAAUAUGAUCUCUAAGAUACAGUGGAUGUCAGCAUUCUGACUUCCAGCUUAACCUGGGCUCUCUUUUCACAGUACAGCUGGGUUUAAACAGAUUUGUGCACCCUUCCGGGUUCUUCUAUUUUUAUUAAAUUAUAUGUAGACAUUGAUUUUUAAAACAAGUGCUUAAAUAACCUGGAGGCUUUAACAAAGAAAAAUCCAGAAGAGGGCAAGAAACAAAAACAAACGUUCCUGAAAUAAACAAGGAACCAUUUGGAGCUGAAUUUCACUCCAUGGCCUGAGUUCACCCCAUGAUUUUGAGGCAGUUAUAUUUAGGGGCCUGGUACCCGCUGGGUGGCCGGGCCUUCCUGGGUAUGGAACAGAAUGCAGACCUUCCUCAGAACAGCUCACAUUUGCCUUCAUAACCAUUGGAAGCUGGUGUGCCAAGGCCUGCACACAGAUGUUUUGAUUCACAUUUUUCUGCUGAAGCCUCAAGGCCUCCAUCCAUCCCUACAGUGCUAAUUCCAUAGAUUAAUUUUUACCCCCAAAUCAUAGGUGGAACAUUAUCUAAUUUCCUUACCCACCCUCCCCAGCUCAGGUGCUAAAUCUGUCAAUGAUAUCCCACAAGAAAGACACAAAUGAGUAACUAUUUUUUAAAAGCUGUGAUUCGGGAGAGUUUUUCUAAAUUAAUUUUAAGUUACAAAGCCCCAAGUUUUAAGGAAGCCAAAAUAAAGAAGUUGCCUUAAAACAGCUUUACGUGUUGCGUAAAGCGCUCUCUCUUUCUCGCUCCUUCUUUUUUAAACAAAAAUAUUAUUUCUGAAAGGGCAAAGGGAAUGUGCCAUGCAAGACUUUUAUACCCAGGGGGAUUCUUACAUUUGUGUUUCUAAACCUUGAAAUUGAGAAUUUUAAUGAAAAGGCGGACAGAUGCUUAAGGACAGCAUCGCAAUCUGGGUCCAUACAUUACAAGAGAGAGAGGCGCUUUGUUUGGGGCCAAGGAAAAAGAGGUGGGACUCCUAUUUUGUUCAUAGGCCAUCCCCACCGUCUGACACAUCCCUUUACAGUCAGUCUGAUGCUAACCACUGAAUUCCUGGAGGGGAAGCAGGUUGGAAGGAGAAGAAAGGAAAAGGGAAACAGAAGAGGAAAAAAAUGGGUGAGGGGAUACUGCCUGUUUAUAUAAAUUGUAGAUUUUUUUAAAAAAAUUCUCAACACAGUAUCCAUUGCAUAGUAUGCACCAAGAGCACUUUCACACGUGAGUUAAAACGAUCCAUUAAAUGCUAUAUCGAAAGUACAACAA